UCACUAUCUCAAGCUUGGCUUGUUGUUGGGCCCUGUCACCGGGUGACAGGUCCGAAAGACAAUGACCGGUGUCAUACCGACUCCCUAUGCGACGAGCUUAUAACAGCAUGCAUCUGGUGGUGGUGUGACCCGCUGGAAGCCUCUGGCACCCUUUCUUUCUCAA
rnacentral:misc_RNA from 1 species